rnacentral:rRNA from 1 species
UACGGAGGAUCCAAGCGUUAUCCGGAAUCAUUGGGUUUAAAGGGUCCGUAGGUGGUUUUGUAAGUGAGGUGUGAAAUCCCUCGGCUCAACCGAGGAACUGCGCUUCAUACUGCAUGGCUUGAGGGAGACAGGGGUAAGCGGAACUGAUGGUGGAGCGGUGAAAUGCGUUGAUAUCAUCAGGAACACCGGUGGCGAAAGCGGCUUACUGGGUCUCUUCUGACGCUGAGGUACGAAAGCUAGGGUAGCGAACGGG